rnacentral:tRNA from 1 species
UCCCUGUUGGCUCAGAGGGUAAAGAAUCUGCCUACAAUGCAGGAGACCCAGGUUUGAUUCCUGGUCGGGAAG